GCAAAGCAGAAACAACAGAUAGAGAAUCAGAUUCAACUAUAAUGUUAUCCCAGCCACAAAAUUUAAUGCAGCUCAAUGCCUCCCAAACACCCGUAGUGUUGGGAAAGAAAACACCAGAAACUCUGAAGGAACUAGCCACUAUCAUUCCACUAAAAUGGUCCCGCAAAAUCAUGCCAAUACUAGUAGAGUUUCCAUUGACAUUUGUCGCAACAUCAACAUUAAGCUUAAGAGAUCCUUUUGGAGGAUAAGACCAUUGAGAGACAUUAGACUGCUGAGAAAGUUAAAUUAGAGUCCAAAACACUUUGCACCUGGUACCAUUCCUCGUAGAAACUAUCAGCAAAGUUAGAAACCUGGGCAGGAGUCAUAAAUUUGGCAUUCCAAAUAACAUUGUUUCUAUUAAACCACAAGCACCAACACAGAGAAAUCAAAUGACAACAGUCCUAAAUUGAAAGCCUACUAAAAGCAAUGGAAAUCCAUUCAUUAAAGGAAGUUGCAAAACCUAAAAGAAACCUCACAUGGGACAAUUCCCAACAGCAAUGAGUAAAGGGGCAAACAACUCGGAUAUGAAACA
rnacentral:misc_RNA from 1 species